CGAGGUUGGAUGGCCGUAUAUCGACUUUAAAUAGUCGUGUAUCCAAUAUGGAAGAAAAACAUGACAGACAUGAAAGGAAAAAUGUCGGCCAUCCUGUCACUGUUGCAGUCUAUGUGCAAGGGUUCCAUGGUGAAUGAAGAGACGACAAGGUCACCCAUUUUAUCUCGGGAUCCUGAUACCAAUAAUGUGACUGCCUCCGAUACUUCCAUCCCCCUGUAGAGCACCAAAAUACCACCACUUCACCUACUCCCAUCCCCCCUCUAGAAUCCGAUACCACCAUAACAUCACCAACUGACGUCGAACCUAUAAAGGAAUCUCGAAGAACUAGUCGUAAGAGGAAAGUUGUUGAUAAUAUACACCUCCAGCUCAAGUAAAGAAGAAAAGUGUGGUUUAUAUUUUUAUAUCUCUUGAUGAG